rnacentral:rRNA from 1 species
UAGUAACGGCGAGUGAAGCGGCAACAGCUCAAAUUUGAAAUCUGGCGUCUUUGGCGUCCGAGUUGUAAUUUGCAGAGGGCGCUUUGGCAUUGGCAGCGGUCCAAGUUCCUUGGAACAGGACGUCACAGAGGGUGAGAAUCCCGUACGUGGUCGCUAGCCUUUACCGUGUAAAGCCCCUUCGACGAGUCGAGUUGUUUGGGAAUGCAGCUCUAAAUGGGAGGUAAAUUUCUUCUAAAGCUAAAUACUGGCCAGAGACCGAUAGCGCACAAGUAGAGUGAUCGAAAGAUGAAAAGCACUUUGGAAAGAGAGUUAAAAAGCACGUGAAAUUGUUGAAAGGGAAGCGCUUGCAGCCAGACUUGCCUGUAGUUGCUCAUCCGGGUUUUUACCCGGUGCACUCUUCUAUAGGCAGGCCAGCAUCAGUUUGGGCGGUUGGAUAAAGGUCUCUGUCAUGUACCUCCUUUCGGGGAGAACUUAUAGGGGAGACGACAUGCAACCAGCCUGGACUGAGGUCCGCGCAUCUGCUAGGAUGCUGGCGUAAUGGCUGUAAGCGGCCCGUCUUGAAACACGGACC